rnacentral:lncRNA from 1 species
CGGCAUUUCUUAUGUAUAUUGUGAGACACAGUCCAGACCAUGCAGCGUGAACCCUGAUAUUCUAGGAAAUCUCCGCAUGCAUCCUGGCAGUUUAGUACCCCCUAUGCUGCAUCCUGCAUCUUCAAUCUUAACAUCACUGUUUUUUUAAACACAGAAUUUUCUUUUUUGAUUUUCCAGUGAUUUGCAACAUUACUUUCUCAAUAUAGCAGUUUAAUCCCUUACCAUAAAGUAUUUCUAAAUUUUAGAACUGACACCAAUGAGAACAUGUCAUGGUACUGAAUCAGGCAUCAUAAUGAUUUUGCCUGUCAUUGCAUUUGGCAGGAAGUCAGACAAGUGCCAGUGAUGGUUUCUUGUCUGAUUUUGCAUUUCUCUGGCAAGAUGUCCCCUCUGAAGAGUUGACUAUUGGGCAGUUACUAGCUCAUGGCUCACCCACUUCUGGAACCUACCCCAUGAGCAAGAAUUAAAACCAACUCACACCCUCCAAGCUCCAGAAGCCAGCCAGUAUUUCCAUCUUGGCUGAAUGACUUCUUGAUUGAAACUCAAUUUGACUUUGGCAGUCAUCUAAUGAGAACUCAAAAGUCAUUCUUGGUUCAGCUACAGCCAAAGAACUUGCAGAACAUUCUCUGAUGAGAUCUUCAAGUACAACUGCGAGAAGACCUGUGGAUGAAGAGCCAGAGUCCCCCAAGGUCAAUGCUGCUGGCCAGUGGCCUGGUGUCUGCAUUAACAGAACAUCUGCAACGCCCUCAAAGCCCAUGGCCACUGUAAGUCACUCAUCAAGUCAUUUGACUUGGGAUGCCCAGGUAUUUAAUCAUUUUUUUCUAUAA